CUGUGACAGAGAUAGGAGCUGGAGACAGCUCUUGGUGAGUCAAGGAUUGAAGCUUGAACUUGCAUCAUUUCUUCUAGACAGAAAAAGAAAAACCAAGGAAGACAGUACAAGCCACACAACGACAGAUGAGACCUCAGACCAUCAGGAUGACAGUGGGAACAGCUGAUCCCUGCAGAACCCGCUUGGAGCUGACCCAGAUGAGAACGCUCCACUGUAAUCAGGCCCUGGAGGUAAUCUAGGCAGGACAUUAUCUGCCUCGCUGCUUCUCUGCAGCAUCUGGACGCCUCUGCCACCUGCUCAGAAGGGCUUCACACCUCUCCUCUGCCUCUUUUUCACAUUGUUUGUUUUCCUUCUCGCCCUGAUUCGCUAAACAUUACAUUUAGCCUUGUCAGAUGUGUUCUCAAGAAUCAUGGAUCAAUUUCGCAGGUUAUUUUAAGACAUUUUUUUCUUGAUUUGUCCUACAAACCAGGUGCUAUUUCUUGGAUUACAAAUACAUAUUUUCUCCAAGAUCAUCUCGGCUUGACAUUGUUGAGGUGAUUCAUCUGUGUCAUCAUAGAUUCAGUGAUUUAUUAAAGACUAGAAUAUAUGCAGAAUCAUUUCUUGCUGUUUAAACAACAGAAACAUCAACAGGAAUUUUUUUCCUAAAUGUUGACAACAAAAAUGAAUGUUAAAAGCAUCUUUCAGGGUCUUUUAUUGUUUUUUGUGCAAGAAAACUGAAGAAUAACUGCUCAUUUUUAGAGGAAUAUAGCUUCGGAUAAAAAUGUUCCCAUUGCAAUUGAAGAAAACACAAUGUUUGAAUUUUUAUUUUAGCACAUCUUGAGGC